rnacentral:rRNA from 1 species
AUGCAAAGAACUUUGAAAAGAGAGUUAAAGAGUACCUGAAAUUGCUGAAAGGGAAGCGAAGGAAACCAGUGCAUAGUGCGUGUCAUAUUUCUCUUGCUGCUUGCGGUAGGGGCGCUGUGACCGUGCGUAGCGUCAGCAUCGGUUCGUACUUCGGAGCAAACCGGUUUUGUAGGAGGUGAUCCCAUCUCGGGGUGAAGACUACGAAACCGCAGCUCUGGGGGGGACCGAGGUUAGUCACAUGCUCGUGAUGCUGGCUAAAUGGUUUUCUUUACCCCGUCUUGAAACACGGACCAAGGAGUCUAACAUAUGUGCGAGUACAGGGGUGGCAAACCUCCGUGCGCAAUGAAAGUAACAGUGGUUGGAUCCGGUCAAACGGUGCACAAUCCGCCGGCCACAAUCCUUCGGGAGAAAGGUCUGAGUGUGAGCACACAUGUUGGGACCCGAAAGAUGGUGAACUAUGCCUGAAUAGGGUGAAGCCAGGGGAAACUCUGGUGGAGGCUCGUAGCGAUUCUGACGUGCAAAUCGAUCGUCAAAUUUGGGUAUAGGGGCGAAAGACUAAUCGAACCAUCUAGUAGCUGGUUCCCUCCGAAAUUUCCCUCAGGAUAGCUGCAAUCGGAUUCAAUUUUAUCA